UUUGAAUCAUCUCAGUUGAAAUCUAAAUGUAGUCAAGAUCUAAAUUGUUAUUAGUUACCAAGAAAUGUACAUAUUAUUUUGAACCAAACUUUUAUUGUGUCAUAUUUUGAAAUGCCUACUUUACCGACAGCGCCAUUUGUAACCUUUAUUUGUGUUGUGUAGUUGAAGAAACACAACAUUAGUAUAUUUUACUUUCAAACAUAAAAACGUACAGUGCAGUUAGAAAAUUAUGACUGAUAUGGACGUGGAAAUGGAAGCAGUGGUGCCCGAUGAUAAGGCAGACAGCGCAUGGAUGCGAGAACGUUUUAUCAUGAUGCAAGUCAACUUAAAAGGUUUACCGGCGCACAUAGUAUUGCAUGAUAAUACGACCGUGGACGGGAAGGUGCAGACCAUUGAUGGUAACUUUCAGAACAUAAUAGUCAAUGAUUUACACACUCCAACACAAGAAAUAAUACCAAAAGCUGUGCUGCGAAUGUCUGACAUCAUAUCCAUUAGAAUACCUCAUUGAAUAAAUGUAUUUCAUCAACA